rnacentral:rRNA from 1 species
CGGUAAAAGAUGGGGAUGCGUUCCAUUAGGCAGUUGGCGGGGUAACGGCCCACCAAACCUUCGAUGGAUAGGGGUUCUGAGAGGAAGGUCCCCCACAUUGGAACUGAGACACGGUCCAAACUCCUACGGGAGGCAGCAGUGAGGAAUAUUGGUCAAUGGGCGGAAGCCUGAACCAGCCAAGUAGCGUGAAGGAUGACUGCCCUAUGGGUUGUAAACUUCUUUUAUAGGGGAAUAAAGUGAGCCGCGUGUGGCUUUUUGUAUGUACCCUAUGAAUAAGGAUCGGCUAACUCCGUGCCAGCAGCCGCGGUAAUACGGAGGAUCCGAGCGUU